rnacentral:rRNA from 1 species
UAGUCCACGCCGUAAACGAUGUCUACUAGCCGUUGGGGAUUUAUUUCUUUAGUGGCGCAGCUAACGCGAUAAGUAGACCGCCUGGGGAGUACGGCCGCAAGGUUAAAACUCAAAUGAAUUGACGGGGGCCCGCACAAGCGGUGGAGCAUGUGGUUUAAUUCGAAGCAACGCGAAGAACCUUACCUACUCUUGACAUCCAGAGAACUUGCCAGAGAUGGCUUGGUGCCUUCGGGAACUCUGAGACAGGUGCUGCAUGGCUGUCGUCAGCUCGUGUUGUGAAAUGUUGGGUUAAGUCCCGUAACGAGCGCAACCCCUAUCUUCAGUUGCCAGCACAUAAUGGUGGGGACUCUGGAGAGACUGCCUCCGUAAGGAGAGAGGGAAGGCGGGGACGACGGUCAAAUCAUCAUGGGCCUUUAUGCCUAGGGGCUACACACGUGCUACAAUGGCAGAUACAGAGGGUCGCGAAGCCGCGAGGUGGAGCUAAUCCCAGAAAGUCUGUCCCAGUUC